GUGAGACUCUGUCUCAAAAAAAGAGAAGAAAAAGAAAAAAAAAAAAGGGGGGGGGGGAUCAGCAGUAGUCCACUUCACCUCUUUUCCUGCUAGCUUGAGUUAAGAGAAAGGUAUACCUCUUCUAGUAAGGCUUUGCCAGGCCCCCAGGCAGCACUAACCUCCUCCACUUUCCCCUGGGUAAACCCGAGGCAGUGGCCAAUCUCAUUGAGAGGCUCUCUGAAGCUGGUGCCCGCUUCCUUCCUGAGACCUCCACCCACAGCUUGAUGAAUUGCCUCCAGACUCUGCUGUCUCCAUUCUCCCAACGUCCACAUUAGCAUGGCAGAAAUGCACUGCUGCAACCUUCCAACCCUCAAAUUACUUUGAUGAGGCAGAAUCCCUGCCUUAUCCCAGAUGUCCCCAGAAAGUGUCGGGUGCGGUGGCGCAUGCCUGUAAUCCCAGCACUUCGGGAGGCCAAGGCGGGAGGCUAACCUAAGGUCAGGAGUUCAAGACCAGCCUGACCAAUGCGGAGAAACCCUGUCUCUACUAAAAAUACAAAAUUAUCUGGGCGUGGUGGCGCAUGCCUGUAAUCCCAGCUACUCAGGAGGCUGAGGCAGGAGUAUCGCUUGAACUCGGGAAGUGCAGGUUGCGGUAAACUGAGAUCUCACCAUUGCACUCCAGCCUGGGCAACAAAAGCGAAACUCCGUCUCAAAAAAAAAAAAAAAAAAAAAAACAAACAAACAAACAAACAAAAAAAAAAAUCAGAUAUCCCCAGAAAGGAAGUUGUUAUGGGCACCAAAUGGUUGUCAUAAAAUUCACGUUUUGUUGUCCCCCUUCCCAUAGCUGGUGGCCUUCAAAAGAGUAUUUUAUUGUCUCUCUCCAAUAAUGUGGGGGCCAUUUGUAGGAAUCACACACACAGGCAGCUGGGAUUUUGUGAAGCUGAGCACGUCAGAUUUUAACAUUGGUAGUCUUCAGACACGUUUUCCCAAAAGCGGCACCACCUUCUCAGGCAAGGUCUGGCCCAGCCCACCCAGCUAACCCUCCUGCCCAGCUUGUCCCUGGAGGGGCAGUGUCAGGGCACGGCCAGCAGGGGGCGGCGCGAGCACACAUUCAGAGCCGGCUCGCGGGAUUCCCAACCCCUAUGGCUUCUUCCUCAGAAAGCCACUUGGUUUUCUUAUCAGACGGGGUCCCUGGGCUAAGGCCCCAGCCCUGCUGACCUUAGGGACGACCCCAGCAUCCCAUUCGGGUUUGAGUAGGAGCUAGGGCUGCCCCAAGAGUCUUCUGCUCAGCAUGUGCCUGAUUUCAUUUAUAUAUUUAGAGCUGCCACAAAUUCAGAGUGGACCUGGACUGUGUCCAGGAGGGCACCUGGCAGCUCGGGGCUCCGGGGAAGAUGGGAGUCAGUGGAUAGGGAUCAACCAGUGUUUCCCUCAGAUUUAGGACCCAGGUCUUAAGGAAAAAUUAGAAGUAUAUCAUGAAAACGUA
rnacentral:lncRNA from 10 species